rnacentral:rRNA from 1 species
GACGAACCGUCCAAACGUUAUUCGGAAUCACUGGGCUUACAGAGUUCGUAGGCGGUCUGGAAAGUUGGGUGUGAAAUCCCUCGGCUCAACCGAGGAACUGCGCUCAAAACUACCCGACUCGAGGGAGAUAGAGGAAAGCGGAACUGAUGGUGGAGCGGUGAAAUGCGUUGAUAUCAUCAGGAACACCGGUGGCGAAGGCGGCUUCUGGGUCUUACCUGACGCUGAGGAACGAAAGCUAGGGGAGCGAACGGG